UGCUGCUGCUGCAUUUCUUUACUGCCUUAACUAUUGCAAGCAUUCUCGCGAAGUAAUGAUUAAUUAAAAGGUGAUGGGGAAAAAAUUACUCUUCCAACUUUUUGACAAAAAACAAACGACUCGCAAAAUCCUGUCAUUGUUUUUUGAUGUUCCGCUAACAGCUAACUGGCCAACUGCGCUUUAUAGACAGAUAGGUAUUACGAAAAAAAAAACCAAUUUAAAAUUUAUUUCGUAUGAAGGGCUACCGCAAAAUGCGAAACUGUAUUCUAGUUCUCCGAAACCACUAUUUCUAAUGAGGAAUAUAUAUUACGAAAUGCUAGUAGGUACGUCCAAUAUUAAUUACCCUAACGAGACAUGUUUUAUUUGAUUUUAACCAAAACUACUUACCUAGAUAUCCUAAAGAAUAAAUAGGUGACUUCCUUGACGUAUUUUACCGCGUAAGGCGUUUUCAAAAAAACAAAGCGCCCUUGUUUCCGACCGUUAUUCCUGGAAAUGGGAGUAUGCAUUUCAGAUCUAAAACAAAGAAUGUAUCGUUUUCUCACUCGUUACACGUUCCGUCUUUAGUUUUCCGCUACGAUCGCAAUUUGCCUCCUAUUUACUAUAGUUAAACGUAAAGUGCGCGCGCGAGUCACACACAAUAUGACAUCACGAAAAUUCUCAACGUUUCGAGCAUCGGGCGCGAAAAUUUCGCAACAAACAUUUCUAAAGCCACCUGUCGAUCAACAACGGCUAUCAACGACACGUUGGCGUUGGCUCCAGAAAUAAACGCUGUGGUAAACAACGCGGUGUCUCUUAGGUAAAUUCGUAUCAAAAUGGGAUUCCAUUGAAAUAGAUGCCCGUGUCAUCACAAUCAAUUCGCCCCACGAUUGUAACAGAAAAUUUAGUGGACACACAUCCGUAGCGCGGUUAGAAGGAGGAUUUGCUACAGAUUUUCUGUUUGCCUGGUGGUUGAAAAUAAUCCCUCAAAUUGCUGGAAACGAUGAGAUCACCUACACUGCCUCCACUACCAACAGCUCAGGUGGAGCCCAUGGUUGAAACUUUAUCGUAACGGGCGAAUUAUUGAUUACAGGGACGCAAAACAACUUGAAUCUCUCUCGAUGCCCUUCGUCGUUUUUCCGCACCAAAGGUACGUUGUGGUUGGAGCCCAUUUAACGAUCCAAGGGAUAUUCGCAACCUACACCUUCGAGGGGAUUGCAGCGCAAACUACAUAUUUCAACACAAGAGGCGGGAUGGAAUUCAAAGGAUGACCAGAGAUGGCAUUUUUUCUUUUCUUAAUGAAACACGAUUAUUUGUAGUCUAAUGGUUUUAUUUACAACACUAUUUACAUAAUCUUUUUUCAAAAAUAGCUAAUGUUUACAUAA